CCUACCAGGCGCUGGCGUACAUGUUGUUGUCUCAAGCUCGCGCCCUGCUGUUCUCUGGCCUUGCUCGAGUGAAGUUUUUCUUACACCGUGCUUUGUCUCAGUAAAUCGUACAUCUUUCUUGUAGACAAGGUAGCACGCAAAUCACUGCCCCGUAGACAUUUCGUCUACACCGGGGUGACUGUACUACUUGCUCGAUCGACAGACGUAGCGAGCUGCGGUGAGCUGCCUUGCCACGAAAGGCAUAGAGGCGAGCGUUCCGAGUUAAUAACAGAGAACACGUCAUUUUUGGUGCUCUCUACAAACUGCUGUACCAAGAAAUCGACAUGGAGGCUGCCCCUCAUGCGAAUACAUACUGGGCGACAGAAGCGCCAUGGGCUGAAUCUGUAAGCAACUAUUCAGUCGAGCUGUCAUCCUCAAAGCCCAGAGAUCGGGAUCACGCAUUGACCCAAAUUUACUGACACACUCACUGCUACGCUCCUCAGUGUACAGAGUUAAGUGCGCCUGGAGCGUAGUGGUGCCAACACUUACACAUAUUAUGUACGGGUGUCCUUAAUGUCCCAGCGAAGUGAACUCAAUACAGACCACCACAAUACCACAUCGGUCGUUAGAAAUGCAACUUUCUGAGAAAGACUUGAAGAGCCUAGUGGUUGCAUUGGACCAGGCCCCAUUAAGCAGGUAGUCGAUGAAGCCCUAAGAGCCUUUCGCUCUGAAGAACGCUUCAGCUAUAUAAAUGGUCCCUCUAUUCUUGCUACAGCCCAACAUACGCAAGCUUGUUUGGACAAUUUGCUUUGCUAACAUCUGUGGCAUCCCCUCCAGGUCCUUUUACACCAAAGCCUGCCAGAGACACUAGGAAGCUUUCGCUUCUCAAAGUUUGUUUACUUUCAGCUAGAAUCUGAUUUUUCAAUAUAAUCUACAGAGUAAACUGCUUUAAUAAAUUGAAAAUAUAGCAUCUCAAUUGAUUUAACAAAACUGCAACCAAAAAGCAAAUG